rnacentral:rRNA from 1 species
UAACACAUGCAAGUCGAACGGCAGCACAGUAGGAGCUUGCUCUUACGGGUGGCGAGUGGCGGACGAGUGAGGAAUACAUCGGAAUCUACCUUUUGGUGGGGGAUAACGUAGGGAAACUUACGCUAAUACCGCAUACGCCCUUCGGGGGAAAGCCGGGGACCAGCAAUGGCCUGGUGCUGAUAGAUGAGCCGAUGUCGGAUUAGCUAGUUGGUGAGGUAAUGGCUCACCAAGGCGACGAUCCGUAGCUGGUCUGAGAGGAUGAUCAGCCACACUGGAACUGAGACACGGUCCAGACUCCUACGGGAGGCAGCAGUGGGGAAUAUUGGACAAUGGGCGCAAGCCUGAUCCAGCCAUACCGCGUGGGUGAAGAAGGCCUUCGGGUUGUAAAGCCCUUUUGUUGGGAAAGAAAAGCAUUCGGUUAAUACCCGGGUGUUCUGACGGUACCC